rnacentral:lncRNA from 1 species
AUGGCGGAGGGAAGCGGGCUGUUUAUCCCCAGGGUGCACAGAGCAUCAUCACCACCAUCACAAAACUGGCGCGUCCUGCACUCACGCCCACUCUCUGGGCGGGGCGCGAAGCCGCGGGGCCACGCGGAGCCCGCCUCGCUGCGCCUGCGUCGGAAACACCGCCCCAGAAAGAAGGUGAGCGGCGCGCGGCUCUGCGCCGGCGCAGCCGCUUGCUUCCGCCGGGGGCGGGGCCGGCGGGGCCGGCGCCCUCGGCGCACAGCCCCCCGCGCGCAUGCGCAUGGAGCCGGGGGACCAGACCUGCAGCAUGGCCCCGGACCGGGGUUUGGUAUCAGCAACACAGAGACCGCGGCGAGAGCCCGGGACAGGGACCCAGGAGGGGGCUCCUGGCCCCGGUGCUGUUCGAGCCCGCCGCUUCCUGCUCUGUCUUUACCUGGUAGGCUUCCUGGCUCCUCCUAUGGCAUUUUGCAACUCUUUUCCAGCACGCUAGUGGGCUGCUGGAGCGACGUCGUCGGAAGACGCUCUUCCCUACUGGUGUGCAUCCUGUUCAGCGCCCUGGGUUACCUUCUGCUUGGAGCGUCUACCAACGUGUUCCUGUUCACCCUGGCUAGAGUCCCUGCGGGUAUCUUUAAGCACACACUCUCCAUCUCAAGGGCCCUGCUAGCUGACCUGGUCACAGAGGAGGAACGGCCGGUGGUGCUGGGACAGUUCAACACGGCGUCCAGCAUGGGCUUCAUCUUGGGCCCAGUGGUCGGCGGGUAUCUGGCUGAGCUGGAUGGUGGGUUUUAUCUCACGGCCUUCGUCUGCUCUUCUGUCUUCAUUCUCAACGCUGGUCUCGUUUGGCUGUUUCCAUGGAGUGAAGUAAAACUCAGCGGUCCACAGGAUGACUUGCCACGGGGUAGGAACCAGGCGCUUUGGGGAAAGACAGACUCUGCCGUGCAGAGGGCGGCCAGUGCCCAGGCGACCCCAGCCAGCCCCCAGGGGACCCCAGUGAGCAAGGGGCCGGCCCGACUGCCCUGGGCGGAGGUGCUGGCCACCCUGUGGGGCCUGAGGAGCCUGGUGCUCUCUGCCCUGUGGGUCGUGUUCGUGGUGCGCCUGCUGAUGGCUGUGGCCGUCAUGCUCUACUACAGUAACUUCGUCCUGGCCCUGGAGGAGCGCUUCGGCAUGGGGCCCAGGGCGGCUGGCUAUCUCACCAGCUGCAGCAGCGCCCUGGGCGUCCUGGCCGGCUUCGCCCUGGGGCCCCUCCUGCGGCUGUAUGGCCACCAAUCUUACCUGCUCCUGCUGCACUCCAGCGUGCUCACGUCUACACUGCUGCUGCUCUUCGCCUCGGCACGCAGCCUGGACGUCGCGGUCGUCUGCUCUGUGCUCCUGUCCUUCUCCACCACCAUUGGCAGGACCUGCAUCACUGAUCUCCAGCUGACCGUGGGCGGGGUGCGGGCUGGCGGCAGCCUUCUGGGCAUGGGGCAGUCGGUGACAGCCGUGGGCCGGGUCCUUGCCCCCAUCCUCUCGGGGGUGGCCCAGGAGGUAAGCCCCUGCGGCCCUCCCGGCCUGGGGGCGGCCUUAGGCUUUGUGGCUGUUGUCAUCAUGUCACGAAACAGACCUCACUCUGGUGGCCAAGGGGGUGAGGAAUUAAAAAGCGAGUAG